AACGAACGCUGGCGGCAUGCCUAACACAUGCAAGUCGAACGAGACCUUCGGGUCUAGUGGCGCACGGGUGCGUAACGCGUGGGAACCUGCCCUUAGGUUCGGAAUAACUCCCCGAAAGGGGUGCUAAUACCGGAUAAUGUCUUCGGACCAAAGAUUUAUCGCCUUUGGAUGGGCCCGCGUUGGAUUAGCUAGUUGGUAGGGUAAAAGCCUACCAAGGCGACGAUCCAUAGCUGGUCUGAGAGGAUGAUCAGCCACACUGGGACUGAGACACGGCCCAGACUCCUACGGGAGGCAGCAGUGGGGAAUAUUGGACAAUGGGCGAAAGCCUGAUCCAGCAAUGCCGCGUGAGUGAUGAAGGCCUCAGGGUUGUAAAGCUCUUUUACCCGGGAUGAUAAUGACAGUACCGGGAGAAUAAGCGCCGGCUAACUCCGUG
rnacentral:rRNA from 1 species